rnacentral:tRNA from 1 species
GGGGUUGUGGCUCAGAGGUAGAGUACUUGCCUAGCAUGCAUGAGGCACUGGGUUCUAUCCUCAGCACCA